rfam:Clostridium difficile 630 complete genome
AAUUAGAGCUAGGGGCGCUAGAAUUGGCUAGCUGAGAGAUAAAGCCGUAACUUACAAACCCUAAUAACCUGAUCAAGAUAAUGCUUGCGAAGGGAAGCUUUUUAAUAUAAUU